rnacentral:lncRNA from 1 species
UUAUCAUGAUAGAAAUUGUAACAAAUUCUUUCUCACAGACUGGACUUACAGAUGAUCCAAAUAGAAAAUCAUGUGAGAAAUCAGCCUGAAAGUACUAGAGGGAGGAUGGAUCAGAGGGGAUGGGGAAGGAGAAAGAGAAAGUAAAGAGAACGACAGACAGACAGACAGACAGACAGACAGAGAAAGAAUGGGGACAAGGGGAGGUUUUAGGCAUCUAUUAGGAAAAGCAGAAGAAAAAUUCCUGGAGAAUCAAGUUAUUCUGCCCUUCUUAGAGCAAAAGACCAGAAAUGGCAUUCAUCUAUGGAAAUAAAGGUCAAAGAGUGCAUAUAAUCUGUACCAGUCAAGCAGCUAGAGGGAAAUGGGGUUCUAAUUCUCACAUUUGGUCCAGUGGAAGGGAAUGCUUUUCUCCUCUGAAACUGCUUUAACUCCACGUUUGUUGAAGCCGCACCUGCCUUUGUCUGAGUUCUCCAGAGCCCCUCUCCCUCUGCGUUUGUUUACUGUCUCUUCCUCUGCCGCCCACAUGGCAUUUUCCUUUACUUACAGGAGUCCUAAAGACCCGAAACAGCAGCAAGCAGAUUAAAAAUUAAUAAAAGUCUCAGAGGGAGAGUACCAAGAGGCGGCUGGCUCUGUGAUCGGCAAUUUUUUGAGGUUCUUUAAAUACCCAAUUAUUUUCAGGACCCCUACAGAACAGAAACUACGGGACAUGGGAAAUAGGUUUUCAGGCCAGAGGGAAUAUAUUUUUAAGCAAAAAUUCUUUUAACUUGGAGACGAGAAGAAUUAUGUUUUAUAGUACUGCUCUUCAUUGCCAACCCCUCUCCCCCAAAUCUCUACCUAUUCUUUUUCUCUCUUUUAUAGUUUCAGGUGAUGCACCCAGCAGGAGUGAGGAGGAUUUAUCUUCAGUGUAACGUCAUUAUUCUACAGUGUCUCUUCAUUUGCCCAGGAGGUUAUCAGGGAAGUCUGAUUUUCUUUUCUCAGUGUCCCAAGCUUCUAGCUGCUUCCCAGUAUACAAUAAAAAUUUCUGGACUCUUAUUGCUGAAUCUUGCCUCAUUCUGUUCUAAGUUCACAAACUGCUUUUUCUUCUUGUAGCAUGUCUUUUCCAAUAUGCUAGAGUUAGACUAGUAAUUUAAAUCAGGAAGAAAGGCCACACUCAUGGCAUAGGGCCAUUCCCGAAUUGAAACCUAACUUCCAUAUUUAGACUUUGGUAGUGGCAUUUUGAAAUCAGUAGGUAUCUAAGGUAUGCCACUGAGGACUGCAAAAGUUUUUUACCAUAAAAAGCUUUUAGAAGAGUAAGUGCUCAAUGGUGUUUAAUAAGUGCUUUCUAUUAUCAUUGAUGUUGACUUAUGAGCUCGAGACUCAGGCAGCACUUUUUCAAGGAUAACCUUAAG